UCAAGGGUCAUAGGAUUUGGGACUGAGCUUCUCUUUUCUCAUUUCUUAUCCUCUGUUUGAAGUUUGAACCAUCCGUUGUAUUGUAUUCUCUCAGGGGCAUCACUGAAAUUGUUACUUCAAUGGCACCCUCAAGAGGUUUGAUGAUUUAAUAAAAAGUGGAAUGACAUGAGUGGAGUCGGAAAAGGUGUCAUGAAAGUUAUUGAUCAUAAAGUUCUAAAAGGCAAGUUUGAUACAAUGAAUGAAAUGAAGUUGUUUCAUGAUCGAAUAUGAAGUUUUGGAAGAGACCUUGUUUAUUCUUCAUGUGAAGUACUUCAACCUGAUAAAUGGUGGAGGCUACAUGGAUACAGUGUACCACAUUUGCAAAAGUUGGUCAUUCAAAUAUUGAGCCAAACUGCAUCGUCUUCUAGAUGUGAGAGGAAUUGAAGUGUCUUUGAACGUAUACAUACCAAAAAAAGGAAUAGAUUGGAACAUCAAAGGCUUAAUGAUCUUGUUCUAUAACAAGAAAGAAUCUAUGAUCCCAUUGACUAUGCAUGCAUUGAUGAGAUUGAUUUUUGGAUAGUUGAUGAGGAUCAACCAGUAGAGCUAGAUGUUGAAGAAUUGGAAAAUCUUCUAUAUGAAAAAUGCUCAAUUCCAAUAAAUGAAGUGGAAGCUUCAAGUUCUCACAUUGAUGAUGAGGAUGGUGGUGGUGUGGCUAUAGAAGGGCUUGAUGUGGAAAACUUUGGUUUUCCAGAUGCUCAUUUUCAUUCUUCAUAUUCCAAUUUCCAAAAUGA